UGGGGAAUAUUGGACAAUGGGGGGAACCCUGAUCCAGCCAUGCCGCGUGUGUGAAGAAGGCCUUAUGGUUGUAAAGCACUUUAAGCGAGGAGGAGGGUACUGGUAUUAAUACUACCAGGUACUGGACGUUACUCGCAGAAUAAGCACCGGCUAACUCUGUGCCAGCAGCCGCGGUAAUACAGAGGGUGCGAGCGUUAAUCGGAUUUACUGGGCGUAAAGCGUGCGUAGGCGGCUAAUUGAGUCGGAUGUGAAAUCCCCGAGCUUAACUUGGGAAUUGCAUUCGAUACUGGUUAGCUAGAGUGUGGGAGAUGAUGGUAGAAUUCCAGGUGUAGCGGUGAAAUGCGUAGAGAUCUGGAGGAAUACCGAUGGCGAAGGCAGCCAUCUGGCCUAACACUGACGCUGAGGUACGAAAGCAUGGGGAGCAAACAG
rnacentral:rRNA from 1 species